rnacentral:misc_RNA from 1 species
UGGCGUAUUCCGCGUUCACCUCCAGCCACUUCUCAAGGCUGGGCUCGGUGUCGGGCUUGAUCGCGUCCGCCGGGCAUUCAGGUUCGCACACACCGCAGUCGAUGCAUUCGUCCGGAUGGAUCACCAGCAUGUUCUCGCCCUCGUAGAAGCAAUCCACGGGGCAAACUUCCACGCAGUCCAUGUACUUGCACUUGAUGCAGUUUUCAGUGACGACGUACGUCAUCCAAGGCUCCGGAAGGGUCUAAAAUUUCAGUUUGGCGUAGCGCAGGAUGUGCAUCGCCGCAAGGGAAGUUCUGCCCGUAGUUAGAGGCAAUUAGUUACUCGGGAGGCGUUUGUAAAUCAGCGUAGAUUGCGCGUCCCGCAGCCGCAUCCCCUCGCCGGUCCACGAAUCCGGUGAUCUUGAGCACACGAACCCGGCUGUCGAGCGCGAUGGUGAGGACGUCGUCUGCCUUCACCGCAUGUCCCGGUGACGUCUGGCGCAUACCGUUGAUGCGAACGCGCCCUUUUGCGACCAGAGCCGCGGCAUCGACCCGGGUCUUGACGAUCCGCGCANNNNNNNNNNCAAAUUAUUCCUUGCGGUUGCCCGCAAGCUGCUCCUUGAGCGCCGCCAGCUUUGCAAACGG